rnacentral:rRNA from 1 species
UGGGGAAUAUUGGGCAAUGGGCGCAAGCCUGACCCAGCAACGCCGCGUGAAGGAAGAAGGCUUUCGGGUUGUAAACUUCUUUUGUCAGGGACGAGUAGAAGACGGUACCUGACGAAUAAGCCACGGCUAACUACGUGCCAGCAGCCGCGGUAAUACGUAGGUGGCAAGCGUUGUCCGGAUUUACUGGGUGUAAAGGGCGUGUAGCCGGGAAGGCAAGUCAGAUGUGAAAUCCACGGGCUCAACUCGUGAACUGCAUUUGAAACUGUUUUUCUUGAGUAUCGGAGAGGCAAUCGGAAUUCCUAGUGUAGCGGUGAAAUGCGUAGAUAUUAGGAGGAACACCAGUGGCGAAGGCGGAUUGCUGGACGACAACUGACGGUGAGGCGCGAAAGCGUGGGGAGCAAACAGG